AUUGAACGCUGGCGGCAGGCCUAACACAUGCAAGUCGAGCGGAGCGGCGGACGGGUGAGUAAUGCCUAGGAAUCUGCCUGGUAGUGGGGGAUAACGUCCGGUAACGGGCGCUAAUACCGCAUACUAUCAGAUGAGCCUAGGUCGGAUUAGCUAGAUGGUGGGGUAAAGGACUAACAAGGCGACGAGCCGGAACUGGUCUGAGAGGAUGAUCAGGCAAACGGGAACUGAGACACGGUCCAGACGCCUACGGGAGGCAGCAGGGGGGAAUAGUGGACAAUGGGCGAAAGCCUGAGCCAGCCAUGCCGCGUGUGUGAAGAAGGUCUUCGGAUUGUAAAGCACUUUAAGUUUGGAGGCGUUACCAACAGAAUAAGCACCGGCUAACUUCGUGCCAGCAGCCGCGGUAAUUC
rnacentral:rRNA from 1 species